CACUUUGUCUUUACGGCAAAUGUGAGAUGCAGUGUAUGGAAUGUCAAAUUUCUAGUAUGAGAAAUUAACGAUUUAAGUCCUUCUUAAAUGAGGCCAUUUACCCAUAGAGGGUGCCAGGCCCGUAUAACGUUAAUGAUUACUAGAUGGCAUUUCCAAAGAGUCGUGUUGCUUGAUAGUGCAGCACUAAGUUGGUGGUAAACUCCAUCUAAAACUAAAUAUAACCAUGAGACCGAUAGUAAACAAGUACCGUGAGGGAAAGUUGAAAAGAACUCUGAAUAGAGAGUUAAAUAGUACGUGAAACUGCUUAGAGGUUAAGCCCGAUGAACCUGAAUAUCCAUUAUAGAAAAUUCAUCAUUAUGAUUUAAAUACUAAUUAGUAUUUUAAUAAUAGUGUGCAUUUUUUCUAUAGAGGACAUUGUAAUCUAUUGACAUGAAUUAAAUUUAUCAUAAGAUCAAUUGCUUAAGUUUACUCAAAUUAUUUUGAUUUCAAUUUAACAUAGAAUAAAUGCUUUUGAUUUGAUAAAGUGUUGAUAGAUUUAUAAUAUACAGUGCUUCAAUAUCUUAUAUUGUAUAAUAGCAUAUUAAUUAUUAAUUUUUAUGUUUAUUUUAUGCACUUGUAUGAUUAACAAUGCGAAAGAUUCAGGAUACCUUCGGGACCCGUCUUGAAACACGGACCAAGGAGUCUAACAUAUUUGCAAGUUAUUGGGAGUAAAAACCUAAUAGCGAAAUUAACAUAACUUAAAAAUUAAUUGGGAUUAGUUUUUAGCCUAUUUAUAGUCUAUUAAUUCAAUCCCGGGGCGUUCUAUACAGUUAUGUAUAAUAAUAUUUAUAUUAUUUAUACCUCUAACUAGAGCGUACCUUGAGCAUAUAUGCUGUGACCCGAAAGAUGGUGAACUAUACUUGAUCAGGUUGAAGUCAGGGGAAACCCUGAUGGAAGACCGAAACAGUUCUGACGUGCAAAUCGAUUGUCAGAAUUGCAGUAUAGG
rnacentral:rRNA from 1 species